UACGGGAGGCAGCAGUGGGGAAUCUUAGACAAUGGGCGCAAGCCUGAUCUAGCCAUGCCGCGUGAGUGAUGAAGGCCUUAGGGUCGUAAAGCUCUUUCGCCAGGGAUGAUAAUGACAGUACCUGGCAAAGAAACCCCGGCUAACUCCGUGCCAGCAGCCGCGGUAAU
rnacentral:rRNA from 1 species